UAUGGGUCCCAUCACUGUGUGUAUUAUGUGAAAAACUUCGGCAGAGGAACAAAACUUGUUGUCACAGAUAAAAUGUUCAACAUAGACGUUUCUCCCAAGCCCACUAUGUUUCUUCCUUCAAUCGCAGAAACAAAUUUCCACCAGGCUGGGACAUACCUUUGUCUACUGGAGAAUUUUUUCCCUGAAGAUAUUAAGGUAUAUUGGAAAGAAAAAGAUAGCAAUGUGAUUCUCAAGUCCCAGCAGGGAGAUACCAUGAAAACUAAAGACACCUACAUGAAGUUUAGCUGGCUAACAGUGGCAGGAAGUUCGAGGGCUAAAGAGUACAAGUGUGUCGUCAAACAUGAGAAAAACAGUGGAGGAGUUGAAAAUGAGAUUCUCUUUCCUUCAGUGAAUCAAGUUGUCGAUUCUAUUAAUCUUAGAGGAGCUGGAUUGAAAGACAAAAACGUUGCUCCCACUAUUAAUCUGAGAGAAGCCAGUCUGGAAGAUGGAAGUGUUGUCAAUUGCACUGAAGCAGGAAUGUCCUUGAAAGAUGUAAAUGAUUUGUUGCAACAACAGUUCACCAGCACCUCUGCCUAUUACACGUACCUCCUGCUGCUGCUCAAGAGUGCGCUCCACGGGGUCCUAGUCACCUUCUGUCUGUGCAGAAGGUCAGCUGUCUGCUGUGAUGGGAAGAGCACCUGACAGAUGGAGGCACAAGGGGCCAUGGUGUCUCCACCGUUUCUCUUUUCUGUCCCCAGCAGCAUCUGCUGUGGGUAUGCCAAGCUUGCUGGAACUUCUAAAGGCCACAUGCACAUUAGUCUGUCAUAGCACAAGGAUUUCCCAAAAAGUGGGCAAACUCCAUGACUUCCCUCUGUCACAACAAGGUUUAACUGUGGGGCCCCUGAGCCCCAUCCCUCCACAGCCCCCACACCCCCUCUAGCCAGUCCACAUCCUCAGCCUUGGUGGGCACAGCUCACUGCUUCUAGUCAGGGUCUCACUGCUGUGGGCUGGGUCACCCCUGGAAACCUCCAUUCAGUCCACCCUGACAGGGUCUUCUUUGCUGUUGAACUAUACUAUUUUAAUAUUAAUAAUACAAUAAAAAGCAUACCAAAAGUC